rnacentral:rRNA from 1 species
AGAGUUUGAUCAUGGCUCAGGAUGAACGCUAGCGGCAGGCUUAACACAUGCAAGUCGAGGGGCAGCGAGAUCAGUGCUUGCACUGAUUGUCGGCGACCGGCGCACGGGUGCGUAACGCGUAUGCAACCUACCCAUUACAGGGGGAUAACACUGAGAAAUCGGUACUAAUACCCCAUAACAUCCAGGGAGGCAUCUUCUUGGGUUGAAAACUCCGGCGGUAAUGGAUGGGCAUGCGUUGUAUUAGUUAGUUGGUGGGGUAACGGCUCACCAAGACAACGAUACAUAGGGGGACUGAGAGGUUAACCCCCCACAUUGGUACUGAGACACGGACCAAACUCCUACGGGAGGCAGCAGUGAGGAAUAUUGGUCAAUGGACGCAAGUCUGAACCAGCCAUGCCGCGUGCAGGAAGACGGCUCUAUGAGUUGUAAACUGCUUUUGUACGAGGGUAAACGCAGAUACGUGUAUCUGUCUGAAAGUAUCGUACGAAUAAGGAUCGGCUAACUCCGUGCCAGCAGCCGCGGUAAUACGGAGGAUUCAAGCGUUAUCCGGAUUUAUUGGGUUUAAAGGGUGCGUAGGCGGUCGGAUAAGUUAGAGGUGAAAUCCCGAGGCUCAACUUCGGAAUUGCCUCUGAUACUGUUCGGCUAGAGAGUAGUUGCGGUAGGCGGAAUGUAUGGUGUAGCGGUGAAAUGCUUAGAGAUCAUACAGAACACCGAUUGCGAAGGCAGCUUACCAAGCUACUUCUGACGUUGAGGCACGAAAGCGUGGGGAGCAAACAGGAUUAGAUACCCUGGUAGUCCACGCAGUAAACGAUGAUAACUCGUUGUCGGCGAUACAAUGUCGGUGACUAAGCGAAAGCGAUAAGUUAUCCACCUGGGGAGUACGUUCGCAAGAAUGAAACUCAAAGGAAUUGACGGGGGCCCGCACAAGCGGAGGAACAUGUGGUUUAAUUCGAUGAUACGCGAGGAACCUUACCCGGGCUUGAAAGUUAGUGACGGAUCUUGAAAGAGGUCUUCCCUUCGGGGCACGAAACUAGGUGCUGCAUGGUUGUCGUCAGCUCGUGCCGUGAGGUGUCGGGUUAAGUCCCAUAACGAGCGCAACCCCUACCGUUAGUUGCCAGCAGGUCAAGCUGGGCACUCUGACGGGACUGCCGGUGUAAGCCGAGAGGAAGGUGGGGAUGACGUCAAAUCAGCACGGCCCUUACGUCCGGGGCUACACACGUGUUACAAUGGCAGGUACAGAGGGCAGCUACCCAGCGAUGGGAUGCGAAUCUCGAAAGCCUGUCUCAGUUCGGAUUGGAGGCUGAAACCCGCCUCCAUGAAGUUGGAUUCGCUAGUAAUCGCGCAUCAGCCAUGGCGCGGUGAAUACGUUCCCGGGCCUUGUACACACCGCCCGUC